rnacentral:rRNA from 1 species
UACGUAGGGUGCAAGCGUUAAUCGGAAUUACUGGGCGUAAAGCGUGCGCAGGCGGUUAUGUAAGACAGGUGUGAAAUCCCAGGGCUUAACCUUGGAACUGCAUUUGUGACUGCAUAGCUAGAGUUUGUCAGAGGGGGGUGGAAUUCCACGUGUAGCAGUGAAAUGCGUAGAUAUGUGGAGGAACACCGAUGGCGAAGGCAGCCCCCUGGGAUGUGACUGACGCUCAUGUACGAAAGCGUGGGGAGCAAACAGG